GACGAACGCUGGCGGCGUGCUUAACACAUGCAAGUCGAACGGAAAGGCUCCAGCUUGCUGGAGUACUCGAGUGGCGAACGGGUGAGUAACACGUGGGUAAUCUGCCCUGCACUCUGGGAUAAGCCUGGGAAACUGGGUCUAGUACUGGAUAUGACCUUUCUCCUUAUGGGGUUUGGUGGAAAGUUUUUCGGUGUAGGAUGAGCCCGCGGCCUAUCAGCUUGUUGGUGGGGUGAUGGCCUACCAAGGCGACGACGGGUAGCCGGCCUGAGAGGGUGAUCGGCCACAUUGGGACUGAGAUGCGGCCCAGACUCCUACGGGAGGCAGCAGUGGGGAAUAUUGCACAAUGGGCGGAAGCCUGAUGCAGCGACGCCGCGUGAGGGAUGACGGCCUUCGGGUUGUAAACCUCUUUCAGCAGGGACGAAGCGUAAGUGACGGUACCUGCAGAAGAAGCACCGGCUAACUAUGUG
rnacentral:rRNA from 1 species